CUCCAACCUUAUUUGAUUUUUUUUCCAACUUGCAGCAGAACACUCGAGGUGUUUCAAAUUAGAGAUAUUUUGAGUUGCAGAGGUAAAACAAAAGCUUAAGACAAUGGAAACACUUGAAAAGGAACUCAUCCACCGUCAGAGAGCUUUAUUGAAAAAAAAACAAUGAUCCAGAUUCCUCAGAGAACGUGUAAGAGGUCGAACAAACAGAGAGAGAGAGAGACUGGUCAAGUUGCAGAUAAGAAGCGUUUACGAGAAAAACAGAGGCUGUUAAAUCAAUAUGUUCACAGAGAUAGUCCGAGUUAGGUAACGAAUGAAUGGAACGAGAGCUUUACUAAGGUUUAGCACAAAGGGUCAAUGGAUAAGAAGUAUAACUCUUUCUGGGUUUCUCUCUCUAGGUGACUCGCUGCUACCGCCAAAGUAAAGUUUCAAUCUUUGUAGUUUUUCAGUUUAGCUUUUUGGAUUUAUUGGGUUUCGAAGAUCUGGACAUCUUUAGAAUCAGAUUCAAUCACUGUUUCAUGUGCUAAGGUUUGUUAGGUACUCAGUAGACUUUGGUGUUUCAUUGAAGUACCUGGAAAUGGUUUUAAGUGGCAAAGACACAAACUUUUAGAGUAUUGAGUUAUGUGUCUUGAUGUUUGGACGGUUGAUUCUUCAGUAUAUUAUCAGUUCUCUAUCUGGACGUGUAAUUAAAGAAUAUGUUCAGAAGCUUAUAGUAAUAACUUGAGAUUCUGGUGGAUGAUCAAGAGGGAGUCAGGUGCAAGCGAGUGAAACACAAGAGAGUCAGAUGCAAGCGAGGGAGACACAAGAGAGUCAGGGAGAACAGCAAGCAAGCGAGUCACAAGAGCAAACGAGCCAGUCUCAGCAAGUCUCUGUACCAUUGAAACAGAUCAUAAUCAGGAAAUCAGUCAGGUGGUCUCUCAAAACAGUCCUAUUGGUACUGGCCGGUCAGAUACGAGUCAGUCUCAGAGCAGUCCCGUUGGUGCGGGGCAGUCUGAAAUGAGUCAGACCACCCAUGUGUCGGACUCGGAUCCUCCUCCAGCACCAACGAGCCACACCCAUACAUCAUCAGAUUCUCAAGUGUCAGACCAGAGAGAGCCCGAUGAUGAGAAGAUGGAGGACACCGCAACCUCAGAAAAUGAGAGGUCCGAAGUUGAGAAGUUAAAGGAAUCUUCUGCAGAAGAAGAAGACUGAGUGUAACCUUCUCCGACAUGUAUUGGUAGCAUUUUUUAAAAGAUUUUAUUUUUAUUUCAAAUGAAUUUUGUAGAAUUAAAUUAAAGAUGUCACUGUAUCAUAAGCGAUUGUAGAAUUCAGGGUUUUGUUGGUCUCAUUGUCACUGCAGUUUAUAUUAUUUAGGGAAAUUCCAACUGUAAUUUUCAUGUUGCUGCAGAGAUUUGAUUUGAGAUUAGUCUGGAUUUGAGCCAAGAAUCGGGUUACAUAGAUAUUCAUUAACUGAUAUCGUAUGAGUGAUGCAAGUGCUA